CCUACGGGAGGCUGCAGUGGGGGAUAUUGCACAAUGGGGGAAACCCUGAUGCAGCGACGCCGCGUGUGGGAAGACGGUCCUCUGGAUUGUAAACCACUGUCCCCAGGGACGAAGAUGACGGUACCUGGGGAGGAAGCUCCGGCUAACUACGUGCCAGCAGCCGCGGUCAUACGGAGGGAGCGAGCGUUGUCCGGAAUUACUGGGUGUAAGGGGAGCGUAGGCGGGACUGCAAGUUGGGUGUAAAAUCUACCGGCUCAACCGGUAGCCGCACUCAAAACUGCAGUUCUUGAGUGAAGUAGAGGCAGGCGGAAUUCCUAGUGUAGCGGUGAAAUGCGUAGAUAUUAGGAGGAACACCAGUGGCGAAGGCGGCCUGCUGGGCUUUUACUGACGCUGAGGCUCGAAAGUGUGGGGAGCAAACAGGAUUAGAUACCCCAGUAGUC
rnacentral:rRNA from 1 species